AUUUCAUUAACCGGUUCUCUAACCUAGUGGUCUCAAAAGGUUGCAUUGACCAGGCCUGGGCGACUGUUUACCAAAAACACAGGUCUCUGCAAAGUCGUAAGACCAUGUAUGGGGGAUGAAGCCUUCCCAGUGUCAAAAGGUUAAGGAAGUUGGUGACCUAAUGACGAGGAAGCCAACGACCGAAGCCCCAGUGAAUGACAGUCGUAACUAUAACAGUCCUAAGGUAGUGAAAUUCCUUGUAGGGUAAGUUUCGACCCACACGAAAGGCGUAAUGAUCUAGUCACUG
rnacentral:ncRNA from 1 species